UACGAAGGGGGCUAGCGUUGCUCGGAAUCACUGGGCGUAAAGCGCACGUAGGCGGACUGCCGCGUCCGGGGUGAAAUCCCACGGCUCAACCGUGGAACGGCCCCGGAUACGGGCGGUCUCGAGGGAGGUAGGGGCAUGCGGAACUGUGAGUGGAGCGGUGAAAUGCGUUGAUAUUCACAGGAACUCCGGUGGCGAAGGCGGCGUGCUGGACCUCACCUGACGCUGAGGCGCGAAAGCCAGGGGAGCAAACGGG
rnacentral:rRNA from 1 species